GUUCUUUGUACAACACGGGUUGCUAAUUAAUGUAUUAUGUAAUCCAAAAAAAAAAAAAAAAACAGAAAGAUAAAUGCAGAUUAAAAUAUUGAAGUAUUUGUUAAUCGACAGACUUCUUCACUCGAGUGAAGGAAUUGCAGUAUAUAUAUAUAUAUUUAAAAAAUGCAAAAAAAAUCAAUAUCAAUUUAUCAUUUGUCAAAACCAAUGGCUAUAUUUACCAUUGUCUUUCCAAAUGUGGCCUAAGAUGUUGGUUGGGUUUGGUAUGUUACCAAUUGUUGAGUUUCCUACUGUUAAAAAAUACACAGCGGUCAGUAAAAUGUCUUCUGGCAAGAGCACUUGAGUUGUUUUUCUUUCUUAUUUCUACACCAGUUUGUCAAUACGUAAUGUUUUCAUAAUAUAUUACUGAAAUUUUCUAGUAAAAAUCAGCGAGUAAUUAAUAAAAUUAUUUACGGUAGAACUUUAGAUGUUUUCAUCAUAUUCGCCUGAUUCAUUAAUGUAAUAAUUCAUGAAGAAACUUUUAAUGCCAAGUCGAUUAAAUUCAAAUUUGCUGAUUAAUAUUAGACGU
rnacentral:lncRNA from 1 species